CGAGAGGCUCUUCGGAGUAGUAAAGUGGCAAACGGGUGAGGAAUGCAUGGGUAACCUACCCUUGAGAAGGGAAUAACCCGCCGAAAGGUGAGCUAAUACCCUAUACGCUACACUUUCUAUGGGAGGUGUAGGAAAGCUAAGCCGUGGGUUUGGCACUCAAGGAGGGGCUCAUGUCCUAUCAGCUUGUUGGUAGGGUAACGGCCUACCAAGGCAACGACGGGUAGCUGGUCUGAGAGGAUGAUCAGCCACACUGGCACUGAGAUACGGGCCAGACUCCUACGGGAGGCAGCAGUGAGGAAUAUUGCGCAAUGGGCGAAAGCCUGACGCAGCGACGCCGCGUGGGGGAUGAAGGUUCUCGGAUUGUAAACCCCUUUUGUGAGGAAAGAGAAAGUGGGUAACCACUUAGACGGUACCUCAAGAAAAAGCCACGGCUAACUUCGUGCCAGCAGCCGCGGUAAUACGAAGGUGGCGAGCGUUGUUCGGAUUUACUGGGCGUAAAGAGCACGUAGGCGGUUGGGUAAGCCUCUUGGGAAAGCUCCCGGCUUAACCGGGAAAGGUCGAGAGGAACUACUCAGCUAGAGGACGGGAGAGGAGCGCG
rnacentral:rRNA from 1 species